rnacentral:rRNA from 1 species
GAUGAACGCUGGCGGCGUGCUUAACACAUGCAAGUCGAACGGAAAGGCCCAAGCUUGCUUGGGUACUCGAGUGGCGAACGGGUGAGUAACACGUGGGUGAUCUGCCCUGCACUUCGGGAUAAGCCUGGGAAACUGGGUCUAAUACCGGAUAGGACGAUGGUUUGGAUGCCAUUGUGGAAAGUUUUUUCGGUGUGGGAUGAGCUCGCGGCCUAUCAGCUUGUUGGUGGGGUAAUGGCCUACCAAGGCGUCGACGGGUAGCCGGCCUGAGAGGGUGUACGGCCACAUUGGGACUGAGAUACGGGCCAGACUCCUACGGGAGGCAGCAGUGGGGAAUAUUGCACAAUGGGCGCAAGGCUGAUGCAGCGACGCCGCGUGGGGGAUGACGGCCUUCGGGUUGUAAACUCCUUUCGCUAGGGACGAAGCGCUUUUGUGACGGUACCUGGAGAAGAAGCACCGGCUAACUACGUG